GAUGAACGCUGGCGGCGUGCCUAAUACAUGCAAGUCGAGCGAACAGACGAGGAGCUUGCUCCUCUGACGUUAGCGGCGGACGGGUGAGUAACACGUGGAUAACCUACCUAUAAGACUGGGAUAACUUCGGGAAACCGGUGCUACUACCGGCUAAUAUAUUGAACCGCAUGGUUCAAUAGUGAAAGACGGUUUUGCUGUCACUUAUAGAUGGAUCCGCGCCGCAUUAGCUAGUUGGUAAGGUAACGGCUUACCAAGGCGACGAUGCGUAGCCGACCUGAGAGGGUGAUCGGCCACACUGGAACUGAGACACGGUCCAGACUCCUACGGGAGGCAGCAGUAGGGAAUCUUCCGCAAUGGGCGAAAGCCUGACGGAGCAACGCCGCGUGAGUGAUGAAGGUCUUCGGAUCGUAAAACUCUGUUAUUAGGGAAGAACAAAUGUGUAAGUAACUAUGCACGUCUUGACGGUACCUAAUCAGAAAGCCACGGCUAACUACGUG
rnacentral:rRNA from 1 species